AGACCCUAUUGAACUUAACUGUAGUUAAACUGGGSCAGUAAAUUAAUUAUUAUUUUAGUAAAAUGUAUAACAUAAAUAUCUAAUAAAAUUAAAUAAUUCAGUUACCAUAGGGAUAACAGCGUAAUAAUUUUCUAAAGAUCUUAUUUAAAAUAUAGAUUACGACCUCGAUGUUGAAUUAAUAACCUAAUUAAGGCAAAACUUAAAAAAGGAAGUCUGUUCGACUUUUUAAAAAUUACAUGAUUUGAGUUCAGACCGGUGUAAGCCAGGUCGGUUUCUAUCUUCUAAAAAAUUUUUUACAGUACGAAAGGACCUAAAA
rnacentral:rRNA from 1 species